AUUGAACGCUGGCGGCAGGCCUAACACAUGCAAGUCGAACGGUAACAGGAAGAAGCUUGCUUCUUUGCUGACGAGUGGCGGACGGGUGAGUAAUGUCUGGGAAACUGCCUGAUGGAGGGGGAUAACUACUGGAAACGGUAGCUAAUACCGCAUAACGUCGCAAGACCAAAGAGGGGGGACCUUCGGGCCUCUUGCCAUCGGAUGUGCCCAGAUGGGAUUAGCUAGUAGGUGGGGUAACGGCUCACCUAGGCGACGAUCCCUAGCUGGUCUGAGAGGAUGACCAGCCACACUGGAACUGAGACACGGUCCAGACUCCUACGGGAGGCAGCAGUGGGGAAUAUUGCACAAUGGGGGAAACCCUGAUGCAGCGACGCCGCGUGAGCGAAGAAGUAUUUCGGUAUGUAAAGCUCUAUCAGCAGGGAAGAAGAAUGACGGUACCUGACUAAGAAGCACCGGCUAAAUACGU
rnacentral:rRNA from 1 species